rnacentral:rRNA from 1 species
AACGAACGCUGGCGGCGUGGAUAAGACAUGCAAGUCGAACGGGACAGACCGAGUAGCAAUAUUUGGAAUGUUCAGUGGCGAACGGGUGCGUAACACGUGGAUAACAUUCCGGAAAGCGGGGAAUAGCCCAGGGAAACUUGGAUUAAUACCGCAUGUGGCCGCAAGGCUAAAGACGGGGAACGCAAGGCCUGUCACUUUCCGAUUGGUCCGCGGCCUAUCAGCUAGUUGGCGGGGUAAUGGCCCACCAAGGCUACGACGGGUAGCUGGGCUUAGAGGACGAACAGCCACACUGGAAGUGAGACUCGGUCCAGAAAACUACGGGUGGCAGCAGUCGAGAAUCUUUCACAAUGGGUGCAACCCUGAUGGAGCGACGCCGCGUGGAGGAUAAGGUCUUCGGAUUGUAAACUCCUGUCAUGCGAGAACAAGGUACUCAGGCUAAUAACCUGAUUGUUUGAUGGUACCGCAAGAGGAAGAGACGGCUAACUCUGUGCCAGCCGCCGCGGUAAAAC